rnacentral:rRNA from 1 species
GACGAACGCUGGCGGCGUGCUUAACACAUGCAAGUCGAACGGAAAGGCCUGCUUUCCCUUGUGGAUUGCGGGUACUCGAGUGGCGAACGGGUGAGUAACACGUGAGUGAUCUGCCCCCAACUUGGGUAUAAGCCUGGGAAACUGGGUCUAAUUCCCGAUAGGACUGCAGGGUGGUGCCUGUGGUGGAAAACGAUUUUCUAGUGGUUGGGGAUGAGCUCGCGGACUAUCAGCUUGUUGGUGGGGUAAUGGCCUACCAAGGCGGCGACGGGUAGCCGGCCUGAGAGGGUGGACGGUCACACUGGGACUGAGAUCCGGCCCAGACGCGUACGGGCGGCAGCAGUGGGGAAUAUUGCAGAGUGAGCGGGAGCCUGAGGCAGCGACGCUGUGUGGGGGAUGACGGGCUUCGGGUGGUAAACUCCUUGCGACCGCGAGGAAGCCACCUGGUUGGAAGGGUGGUGACGGUAGUGGUAGAAGAAGCACCGGCUAACUACGUG